rnacentral:rRNA from 1 species
UACAGAGGUCCCAAGCGUUGUUCGGAUUCACUGGGCGUAAAGGGUGCGUAGGUGGUGGGGUAAGUUUGAUGUGAAAUCUCCGGGCUUAACCCGGAAAUGGCAUUGAAUACUAUUCCGCUAGAGGUUUGGAGGGGGGACUGGAAUUCCUGGUGUAGCGGUGAAAUGCGCAGAUAUCAGGAGGAACACCGAUGGCGAAGGCAGGUCUCUGGGCCACUACUGACGCUGAGAAGCGAAAGCAUGGGGAGCGAACAGG